UUGGCUCUUAAUCAUACCCCUUUUUGUUUGGUUAGCUGCUGGUUUUGCCUUGCUCAUAUUACGCUUCCUGUUGUCAUUCCCAUUUGUUCCUGCUGAGCACUGAAAACCUGCUGCGAGUUCACUGAUCUCCUGCUUCCCCAUUUCUAAGAGUGACUGCAAUGGAAGCUCAUGUUCAAUGCUGAAGCUAUGCCCUAAUACCCUUGAGGAAUUAAUCAGUUUAGGUACAGAUGCUAUGUUCUCUGAUCCAACCGUUCCUAGGGCCACUUUUUUCACUGGAAAUGAGCUCCAAAUGCAAUGAAGGCUCAUGUUCUGAGGGAAUCGAUAACUCCACUUGCUACAGUGCUGAUACCAUGGCCUGAAAUCCUAGACAUAGUGAUCAGUUUAGGCUCAGAUGCUGUGCUUUCUGAAUCAACAGUUCGUAUGCCCAUUUCUGCCACUAGACUCUGGUGAGUAGCUGCUGCUCCCAAAAUUCCAGCUGCCUAUGCUGUUUCUGAGCAUUGUUUCUGAUUGUUGGAAGCACUAAACUGCAAUGUAAGCUCAUGUUCAGAGGAGAUCGAUAUUCCUGAAACUCUUGCGGCCGUUGCCAAUUUAUGUUCAGAAGUUGUGCUUUCUGGACCAACGUUACCUAGGGCCAUUUCUAUCACUGAUCCCGGGCAAGCAAUUGCUAUUUCAGAAACCAUGAGUGCCAAUUCCUGUCCUUUUGUUGUGUUUGUGCCAUGGAUCAAUCCUGAAGGAGGAAUGUUGUCUGAGAAUAUGCUUGUGAUAGCCAAACUUUCCUCUGAACCUGCAACGACAACUAUGCUUGGUUGCAUUUCAGAAUCUGGGAGCGAUCCUGUAACCCUUUCUGAAACUAUUAAUUUUGGCACAGUAAGCGUUUCUGCUUCCAAUUGUGCAAGCACUGGCAUAUUAAAUCUCUUGAUUGUUCUGCUUGCCGUUGACCGUUAUUGACUCCAUAUAGUGGUUGACUUUCUAAUAUUAGGACACCUGUGCUUCUCUGAUUGGUGACCGAACUUGAACCUUCCAGAACAAUGGGCAAAUCAGAGUCUGGUUCCUGAUUACCCGUGCCAAUUACAACCUCUAAUACAUUCUCCGGCAUCAUUUGCACAACUGGUUCCCUCAACAGUGGAUUGUUUGUCUUUUUCUAGGACUCAUUUACUACAAUCCUCAAAUCUGAAGUUGUACUUGAACUUACAGUUGGAACCUUUAGAGCAAUGUUCGUUCCAGAAACUGGGUUUAGUGUGACUGUGCCAAGGGCACAUUUGCUCCUGCCAUGUUACUCUCCUGGGAUUGCAGCCUUUGAAAUCUUGUGAACAGAAUAUGAAACUUAUUUUAAAUCUGAAACACCCUGAAAGUGGCCAUUUGUGAAACUAUUUCCAUUGCGAGUGUGUCAUUUGGAUCCCUGAUUUCUCCUUCCUUCCCUUGAUUUCUAGCUGUUUGGAGUCUUCCCACUGUCGGUGGAGUGAUUGAAACCUUGUGUGCUACACUGUUCAUAACUGAAACUGACAUUGGUAUUGUUUUUGCAUUUGAAACUCUUUGAACACUGCUGGAUUCUGAAACUGGAUUUCAUGGGAUUGUGCCAAUUGGGGCCUUGCUUUUAUCUUGCUGCUCUCCUAGGUUCCUAGCUGUGUGUAUGCUUGAAUCUUUCAGUUUGGGCGUCUUUUCCACUGGGAUCAGAGCUUGACCAGCGUGCUCAGCUUGAUUGUCACUAUUUGGCGCAAAAGCACAAUGUAAACUUAGAGACAAGCCACAUUGAGUCAUGAGUCAACAGUUUGUACGGCAAGUUCCAUCGUUGCCUGAGAGCUUGAACCCCUCUCCAUCCAGGGAACCUCCCGAGAAAUCUAUCGAUUAAGCAAUGUCCUAUUGUGUCCUCGAGCGGUUCCUUGUCAUCCAUUGUGAGUGUAGUGUCGCGUUCGGCCUGUUCUAUCCUUCUUAGCGCUGUGUCCUUCGAGCAUGCUCUGUCCAGGGUGUAUAGGUCAACCCAUCGGCGCUGCUUCAUGGCUUGUGGUGGUCUUCCUGCUUCCUUCCCAUAUGCUGAUUGUCAUUGCUUCACAUGCGAUUCCCUUUAGCGAGCAUCCUUCCCGAUCAGUUCCGGCGAUGCCUGGUUUUGGUGCACAUUUGCAUAGUUGUUCUCUUCACAGAUUUGUUUUCCUUUAUCAGCCACGGAAAGUGUUCCUAUCCGGCACAACGCCGGGGAUAAAUGCCCAAGAUCAUGUGAGCCUGGCUCCUUAUGCGCGGUCUAUUAGUGCCGCUCUGCCCGGUUGUUGCUGCUGUCUGGUCUCUCCCUCCCUCUUCCAGUACGACUGCAUCCUCUGCUGAGAGCUCUUGGUGUUGUUAGUGAUGCGCCGGUCCCAGUGCAGCGGAUCGUGUGUCGAUGGGGAGGCCUAUGCUGUAAGGGAGGGGUCCCCAUCUUUGCUUCUGCUUCCAGCGCACAGUCGUUGGCGCGUUUCUGGACAUUUCAGCUGGAGAAGAUGAUGAACAAAAGCUACGUGCAUUCGACCAUCUUUGAUUGUUGGAUCGGGGCUAGCAGUGACUUUGACCUUGACACAACGCUUCAACCGCCAGAUGGAGAGAUCGUGUUCGGUUGACUUGGGUGCACAAUGUUGGCGCUGAGGGUUAAGUUAAACGGGUUCCGGAUAUGGAAUGCGUUUAGAUCACAACGAGUUAACCCUAUCCACUUCACUUGGAUUCAAAUGCUGUAUCCCACCUACCAGCCGCAAAGAUUGUGCUGCCACGUCAGUUUUUCCUGUGUCCUGAUUGGUUUACUGUGUGCCUAGCAGAGGACCGUUCGUACACAACGGUCAGCGUAGUCUUCCUUCAUCUUCUCCGAUGAUCAACGCCUUCUUCCUAGCUUGUCUUCUCUAGCUCCGGUGACUAGUGGCCGGUUUAAAAACGUUGCAGAUCUCCAGUGAACUACCUCGCAGUCUCGUCCACAUCGCAUCAGUGGUUCCACUCACACGCUUGUCUUCACGAAUUCUACGAUGGUGCAGAGGAGGGUAGCCACUGAGCUCUAGUCCGGCGAUCUCCUAUGUUCUGAGUUUUCCGAUGCCCACUGUGCUUGUUUGGCUUAUAUUGUUUGUAACUUCUUACCUGUGAUCGUGUUUGCCUUGCUGAAUGUCUCUUGUUUGCCAGCGAGUUUUCUCCUCUGCAGCAAUCUGAGGGGUCGCCGGAGCUUCUGUCACUUGUUCCAAUGAUGCCCAAAAUGCCUCCGAUGAAGCUUCUAAACCUGCCACAGCUCUGUCUCUAGUCUCUGUCCCUUGCUUCAGUGGUCCACUCUCAAGCUCACAACUCACCGGUGAGGAGGAUGGCCGGAAUUCUAAAGAGAUGCCAGAGCUUCUCUCUCUAGGAUGACAACUGAGAGCUCUUUCCUGAGAACUCUUUUACGAUUCUUUCUACUGAUCACAUUAGUCGUAGAUUGUCAAUGAUUCCUGAUCUUAUUAUUUCCACGGUUCUAAAUGAAUUUGAUAUUUUCUGUUUGGAAGUAAGAUAUAUUA